UACGUAGGGUGCAAGCGUUGUCCGGAAUUAUUGGGCGUAAAGAGCUCGUAGGCGGCUUGUCGCGUCGGCUGUGAAAACUCGGGGCUCAACCCCGAGCCUGCAGUCGAUACGGGCAGGCUAGAGUCCGGCAGGGGAGACUGGAAUUCCUGGUGUAGCGGUGAAAUGCGCAGAUAUCAGGAGGAACACCGGUGGCGAAGGCGGGUCUCUGGGCCGGAACUGACGCUAAGGAGCGAAAGCGUGGGGAGCGAACAGG
rnacentral:rRNA from 1 species